rnacentral:rRNA from 1 species
AGUCGAGGGGUACAGGGUAGCAAUACCGCUGACGACCGGCGCACGGGUGCGUAACGCGUAUGCAACUUACCUAUAACUGGGGAAUAGCUUCGAGAAAUCGAAAUUAAUACCGCAUAACAUUCUGAAACGGCAUCGCUUUAGAAUUAAAACUCCGGUGGUUAUAGAUAGGCAUGCGUGACAUUAGCUAGUUGGUGAGGUAACGGCUCACCAAGGCGACGAUGUCUAGGGGGUCUGAGAGGAUGAUCCCCCACACUGGUACUGAGACACGGACCAGACUCCUACGGGAGGCAGCAGUAAGGAAUAUUGGUCAAUGGGCGCAAGCCUGAACCAGCCAUGCCGCGUGCAGGAUGAAGGCUCUAUGGGUCGUAAACUGCUUUUAUACAGGAAGAAACCCCUCUACGUGUAGAGGGUUGACGGUACUGUAAGAAUAAGGAUCGGCUAACUCCGUGCCAGCAGCCGCGGUAAUACGGAGGAUCCAAGCGUUAUCCGGAUUUAUUGGGUUUAAAGGGUGCGUAGGCGGACUUGUAAGUCAGUGGUGAAAUCCCGCAGCUCAACUGCGGAACUGCCAUUGAUACUGCUGGUCUUGAGUAUAGUUGAGGUGGGCGGAAUGUGUCAUGUAGCGGUGAAAUGCUUAGAUAUGACACAGAACACCGAUUGCGAAGGCAGCUCGCUAAACUAUAACUGACGCUGAGGCACGAAAGUGUGGGUA